GUACCCUUAGCUCAGUUAGUUAGAGCAGACGGCUCAUAACCGUCCGGUCGUAGGUUCGAGUCCUACAGGGUACA
rnacentral:tRNA from 2 species